rnacentral:rRNA from 1 species
CCUACGGGAGGCAGCAGUGGGGAAUAUUGGGCAAUGGGCGCAAGCCUGACCCAGCAACGCCGCGUGAAGGAAGAAGGCUUUCGGGUUGUAAACUUCUUUUGUCAGGGACGAAGCAAGUGACGGUACCUGACGAAUAAGCCACGGCUAACGACGUGCCAGCAGCCGCGGUAAUACGUAGGUGGCAAGCGUUAUCCGGAUUUACUGGGUGUGAAGGGCGUGUAGGCGGGGAAGCAAGUCAGAUGUGAAAACCACGGGCUCAACCUGUGGCCUGCAUUUGAAACUGUUGAACUUGAGUGCAGAAGAGGAGAGUGGAACUCCAUGUGUAGCGGUGGAAUGCGUAGAUAUAUGGAAGAACACCAGUGGCGAAGGCAGCUCACUGGACUGCAACUGACACUGAGGCUCGAAAGUGUGGGUAUCAAACAGGAUUAGAUACCCGAGUAGUC